UGCGUAGGCGGACUAAUAAGUCAGUGGUGAAAUCUCUCGGCUCAACCGGGAAACUGCCAUUGAUACUGUUAGUCUUGAGUUCGGUUGAGGUAGGCGGAAUGUGUAAUGUAGCGGCGAAAUGCUUAGAUAUUACACAGAACACCAAUUGCGUAGGCAGCUUACUAGACCGACACUGACGCUGAGGCACGAAAGCGUGGGUAGCGAACAGGAUUAGAUACCCUGGUAGUCC
rnacentral:rRNA from 1 species